rnacentral:rRNA from 1 species
CCGAUGCAAACUACGAAUACCGAAGAAUGUUAUCACGGGAGACACACGGCGGGUGCUAACGUCCGUCGUGAAGAGGGAAACAACCCAGACCGCCAGCUAAGGUCCCAAAGUCAUGGUUAAGUGGGAAACGAUGUGGGAAGGCACAGACAGCCAGGAUGUUGGCUUAGAAGCAGCCAUCAUUUAAAGAAAGCGUAAUAGCUCACUGGUCGAGUCGGCCUGCGCGGAAGAUGUAACGGGGCUAAACCAUGCACCGAAGCUGCGGCAGCGACACUAUGUGUUGUUGGGUAGGGGAGCGUUCUGUAAGCCUGCGAAGGUGUGCUGUGAGGCAUGCUGGAGGUAUCAGAAGUGCGAAUGCUGACAUAAGUAACGAUAAAGCGGGUGAAA